GAUGAACGCUGGCGGCGUGCUUAACACAUGCAAGUCGAACGGAAAGGCUCCUGCUUGCAGGGGUACUCGAGUGGCGAACGGGUGAGUAACACGUGGGUGAUCUGCCCUGCACUUCGGGAUAAGCCUGGGAAACUGGGUCUAAUACCGGAUAGGACCACAUUUUGGAUGGUGUGGUGGAAAGUUUUUCGGUGUGGGAUGAGCUCGCGGCCUAUCAGCUUGUUGGUGGGGUAAUGGCCUACCAAGGCGUCGACGGGUAGCCGGCCUGAGAGGGUGAACGGCCACAUUGGGACUGAGAUACGGCCCAGACUCCUACGGGAGGCAGCAGUGGGGAAUAUUGCACAAUGGGCGCAAGCCUGAUGCAGCGACGCCGCGUGGGGGAUGACGGCCUUCGGGUUGUAAACUCCUUUCGCUAGGGACGAAGCGCAAGUGACGGUACCUGGAGAAGAAGCACCGGCUAACUACGUG
rnacentral:rRNA from 1 species